UAUAGUAUAGCAACGUAUGUCAGAAGGGGAUGUGUGCACUGCGGUCUGGUUUUGCUACCCAUGAGACUUGGCAUUGCAAUCCUGGCUCUUCUGCUUAAAAUGGCAGAGACAAAUCCAUACCACCAGGAAAAUAACGCAAAAUACUGCUUGUGGGUAUUUAAUUUCAGGAUUAUGAACUAGAAAAAAAAAAACCCAAACAAAACAGCAGCACGCCAAACCAGCUGAAUUGAUCUAUCACAACUGGGAUCUGUUCGUUUGUUGUUUGUUAUGUAAACUGCGUGACGGCCUCGCUUCCUGACGGUGGGAAAAAUCUCCUGAGAAGAAACGUGUCUUUUGCUUCCUCUGGGAAUGCUCAGUACCCUGGAGAUUCUUCUUGCUUGACAUUUUGUUUCUCAAGUGACUACUGGACCUUUGCUCGGAGGAGAUAACAGCUCUUUGUUGAGCUGAUUCACUGUAAUGGCCCAGCCAACACUGUGGGAACUGUUCCAGCAUUCACUACCCAGAGAGAAUCCAGGUUGUCCAUGCUCAGUCAGAGGAUACAAGGGACCCAUUCCUGCUCAGAGCCUGUGCAACUGUUCCUGACGUGCAACAAUCAAUCCUUUAGCAAGAGGAAAAGCAAAAGCCAUGGAAGGGAAGACGGAAUCUGCUUCGCCUUUGACAGUCCUUUGAACCGUGCUCUGGCAGCUCUCAGCAAGCCUUCCCCAGGGGGAAAUCAGGCACAUGUGCUUCUGAGAGCAAGAUCCAGGGCUGAUCCUUGCUGCUGCUGUGAAGUUCACAUGGCCAUGGCAUUCGACCCAGCUGGAAGAGAGCCCCUGCCUGAUGUGAGAGGGUAGCACGUAGCUGUGUGGUCGCUGCUGAAUUCGUGACUUAAAUGCAUGUCCCUCAUGGUGUGUGCCUUUAAAAACCCAGAUCUCUGAAUGAAACC